GAGUUUGAUCAUGGCUCAGAUUGAACGCUGGCGGCAGGCCUAACACAUGCAAGUCGGGCGGUAGAGAGAAGCUUGCUUCUCUUGAGAGCGGCGGACGGGUGAGUAAUGCCUAGGAAUCUGCCUGGUAGUGGGGGAUAACGCUCGGAAACGGACGCUAAUACCGCAUACGUCCUACGGGAGAAAGCAGGGGACCUUCGGGCCUUGCGCUAUCAGAUGAGCCUAGGUCGGAUUAGCUAGUUGGUGAGGUAAUGGCUCACCAAGGCGACGAUCCGUAACUGGUCUGAGAGGAUGAUCAGUCACACUGGAACUGAGACACGGUCCAGACUCCUACGGGAGGCAGCAGUGGGGAAUAUUGGACAAUGGGCGAAAGCCUGACGCAGCAACGCCGCGUGGGGGAUGAAUGCCUUCGGUUGUAACCCUUUCAGCAGGAACGAAAU
rnacentral:rRNA from 1 species